UGUAGUCAGAUGUAGUUAGGUGUUGUUCAGGUGUAUUCGGGUGUAGCUUGGUUGUAGUCAGAUGUAGUUAGGUGUUGUUCAGGUGUAUUUAGGCGUAGCUUGGUUGUAGUCAGAUGUAGUUAGGUGUUGUUCAGGUGUAUUCGGGCGUAGCUUGGUUGUAGUCAGAUGUAGUUAGGUGUUGUUCAGGUGUAUUUAGGCGUAGCUUGGUUGUAGUCAGAUGUAGUUAGGUGUUGUUCAGGUGUAUUUGGGCGUAGCUUGGUUGUAGUCAGAUGUAGUUAGGUGUUGUUCAGGUGUAUUUGGGCGUAGCUUGGUUGUAGUCAGAUGUAGUUAGGUGUUGUUCAGGUGUAUUUGGGCGUAGCUUGGUUGUAGUCAGACGUAGUUAGGUGUUGUUCAGGUGUAUUUGGGCGUAGCUUGGUUGUAGUCAGAUGUAGUUAGGUGUUGUUCAGGUGUAUUCGGGUGUAGCUUGGUUGUAGUCAGAUGUAGUUAGGUGUUGUUCAGGUGUAUUCGGGCGUAGCUUGGUUGUAGUCAG